UUGCACCUGAAAUCAAAUGACAGGAACACGGACAUUAAAUCGUCUUUCUCCAGCACAGUCACUCGAUUAUAAAGGUACAAAACCUCCAUCUCGAACACUCUGUCGUCCACCAUUUCACCAUUCAGCACAAAUAUAUAGCGUGACGGAUGGAGGAGUGUGGACUCUCCUGCUUUGAAGAAAUAACGCACAAGAAAUCAAAUUGUGGACAUGAUUUGAAGUGACGAUUUCUGCCCAGUGUCUCUACAGCUCCUGUUUAUUUAACACUCUGGAUCGGAGACCACUUCAGCUCAACCCGUCAGAUGUGGACCUCAUGAUUAAUUCUCAAAUAGCUCUGGAGAUGACAGACGAGCAUAUGAAAUUGUUUCUAUAGAUCUUUCUGCCUUGUGCAUCGUAAGGUGGUCAACUGCACUAAUGUCUCACUGAGGGGAAGACCAAACUCCUAGAAACUGGCUGUGAUUCUUCUGGACAUCAAUUUUGCAAUUGACAUCUGCUUUCCUGAAGCCAAGAUUGAAGAUACACAUGAUUUCCUACAUGAAGUCAAAAGUGCUGCCCAGGGAACCAGUGUCCACCUUGAAAUCUCAAACUAAUAUCAAUGCACCGGCUGACUGCUUUAUUCUACUCACCAAGGACAGAUCUACCAUCAAAUGUGGGAGCAUCUUGCCAAGAUGUGGAAGGCUCUGAGUAAAGGUUAGCCAGACUUAAAGUGUUUAAGUCGUGUGUUGAUGUGAUCCUGCUCAGUGAGUCUCUACAGUUGCCCUUGAAAAAAACUGCUGAGCAAGAAAUUGGAUCAAAACCAAAACUGCAUGCUUCGUGCCACCGUUAAUAUUUCCUGGAAGAGCCACAUCGCCAAGGCCGUAUCUAUAGAACCAUUCAUUCAUUGAGUAGACUUAUCUUGCUGGUUUCUUAUUCACUAAAACUGUUCAUUUUCAUUUUGUUGGAGCACAAUGAAACCUAUUUUAAAUAGCAAGCAUGCGAGUGAAGAAAUGAAAAAGUUCCAUUAAAAACAAAACAAAACAAAAAAAAAAA